AAUUUUGAUCCACAUUCUUUUGUAAGAGCGACCCUUGUCAUCCAGGUGGUCAAGAGCAGUGCCCAUCACUGAUCCCGUAGCAGUUUCUGCGGGUGAAAAAGAAAGGCUGGCUGGUGUCAUACUAGGCGGUCUUCACUUCGCUCCCAGGGCGCAAGAUCUAUCGUUAUUGGUGAAAAAGCCGAGAGUGACAUCCUGACCACUCGGGGUACUCAGGGGCCAGCUUGCCUGCCCAUGGACCCUUUUGUCCCUGGUCUCCUCCUGAUGCGGACAACUGGCCAGAGUGCCCUGACCGGGCUUCCCUGGUGGAGCCGAGGUUAAAGCGUCUGCCUGCAACAUGGGAGACCCGGGGUCGAUUCCCUGGGUCGAGAAGAUCCCCUGAAGAAGGAAAUUUUGCUUUGUCUGGCCAUCGUGUGGUUUAGACCUGCUGCCAUUUUGUUAGAACUGGAUUUUCUUUCCCUGUGCUUUGAGACCAGGGCUCUCAGGAACACUUAUCUAGACCAUCUCUAACUCCUGACACUGAGGAAAAAGGGAAAAAAAAGACUUGAAGCUAAAUCUUGCAUUGUGUCUGUCUAAAUAUGUCUUGGUUCUAUGCUGAUUCUUUGCUGCCCCACAUUGACUUAGAUGGAAAUCUAAACACUCCUUAAGGAAUUCACAGGGUUUGGACCCCAUCUUAGGCCUGUUCAUGCUGAUCAUGCUCAGCCACCUCUCCAACGGACUCUGGACUCUGUGCUUAGUGCCUAUGGAAUCUACAGUAGAAGGGUAAGACCCCCUCUGGACAGGGGAAUCUUGAAGAUCAGUUCCG
ensembl:lncRNA